rnacentral:rRNA from 1 species
AGGAUGAACGCUGGCGGCGUGCCUAACACAUGCAAGUCGAACGUCCUGUCUCGCAAGAGGCAGGGAGUGGCGGACGGGUGAGUACCACGUGGGUCAUCUACCGUGAGGUGAGGAAUACCGGCGAGAAAUCGCCGACAAGACCGCAUAGGCUCGAUGCAAGUCGAGCAAAGCUCUUUCGAGAGAGGGAGCGCCACACGAGGAGCCUGCGCCCGAUUAGCUAGCUGGUGGAGUAACGGUUCACCAGGGCGACGAUCGGUAGCUGGUCUGAGAGGACGAUCAGCCACACUGGGAUUGAGAACGGCCCAGACUCCUACGGGGGCAGCAGUGAGGAAUUUUCGUCAAUGGGGGCAACCCUGAACGAGCAACGCCGCGUGCAGGAAGAAGGUUUCGGAUCGUAAACUGCUUUCUCGGGAAGAGAAUGGACGGUACCGAGGAAUCAGCCCGGCUAACUACGCGCCAGCAGCCGCGGU